rnacentral:rRNA from 1 species
AGAUUGAACGCUGGCGGCAGGCCUAACACAUGCAAGUCGAGCGGCAGCACGGGUACUUGUACCUGGUGGCGAGCGGCGGACGGGUGAGUAAUGCCUAGGAAUCUGCCUGGUAGUGGGGGAUAACGCUCGGAAACGGACGCUAAUACCGCAUACGUCCUACGGGAGAAAGCAGGGGACCUUCGGGCCUUGCGCUAUCAGAUGAGCCUAGGUCGGAUUAGCUAGUUGGUGAGGUAAUGGCUCACCAAGGCGACGAUCCGUAACUGGUCUGAGAGGAUGAUCAGUCACACUGGAACUGAGACACGGUCCAGACUCCUACGGGAGCAGCGAGGUGGGGAAUAGUUGGGAACAAGUU